GGGGGCCAGGACCCCGCUCGAUUCAUCGUCCUCUUCGUACUACGUCCCGAUGCUAGCGAGCAGGCCCCCGGUCGGGCUAUAGCAGGCUGAAGGCGUGCGUCUACCCUGCUGCCGCCUGCCGCUUCGACUCUGGGAGCUCACAAUUAAUAGCGAGAAAAACGAAGAGGCGAGCCCUCGGCCGCCGCUUGGUUGGACCAUUGGUGGAUCGCGGCUUGGCGGGUGCCAGUCCUGUGCCAUCCGGUCGCCGGCCACCGGCGGCGCCACCGUCGACGGGUGUACAGCAGCAACGGAUGAACGGAGCAUCCUCAGCAACUCAUCUCUAAUCAGGGAAGAAAAGGGAAGAUAAUGGAGAAGUAUUUGAUAAAGAAAUCAGCAAAUGCCAACACCACCACCCAGCCCCGGGGGGCUAUCACCAGCAACAAUUCAAGUGGCAGUAGUAAUGCAUCAAGACCUGCAGCAAAACAUAAUUCUGUUGUGCCUGAACUAGUUGAUUUGAAUAAGCUCCCUCGGGAUCCAGCUAAAAGGAAGCGAAUGGCAGAUUACCACCCCAACCAACGUGACGAGAUAAGAAGGAAGUAUUUGAUUUGGGGACCUAAUCAGCCCCGCAAAUUGGAAUUUCCAUACAGGGAGAUUGGGAAGAAGAAAAAGAAGAGGAGAUUCAAUCCGGAUUGGUAUGAUGAUUAUGCUUAUUGGCUAGAGUACAGCGAGAAGGAGCACAAAGCCUAUUGCUUAUGCUGCUAUUUGUUUAGGGACAACAUUAAAGACAACCACCAUGGGCACGAUGCAUUUGUAGUAGAAGGUUUCAACUGUUGGAACAAGACAGAGAGAUUUGUAACUCACGUCGGUGAUCGUAACAGCUUUCACAACAGAGCACUCAAGGAUUGCGAGGAUCUAUUAAAGCAAGAUCAAUCAAUCCCUGCAGCCUGGAAUAGACAAAGCCAAACUGAAAAGAAUGAGCAUCUCAUGAGGUUAAAUGCCGCAAUUGAUGUUUGUCGAUACUUGUUGCAUCAGGGACAAC